rnacentral:tRNA from 1 species
GGAAUAUAGCUCAGUUGGUAGAGUGCUUGCCUUGCAUACAUAAGGCCCUGGGUUCAAUCCCCAGCACCA